CGCUGUCUCACACCCGUUGUUUCUCCACAGGUGCCCCUGCAGGAGCCUGAGGGGGGAUUCUCCUCGUGGAGCAGCGAUACGCCACCAAAUUUUGCCUGAAGCUGGGUAAAACGGGCAGAGAGACUCGCAAGAGAUGGCUGAUGAGUUGAGCAUUGCUCAAACCCAGGUUUUCGAGAUGGUUGGCCAAGUUUGUGCCGUUGUCAGAGGAGCAAAAGGCCAAGCGGAAAGCGAUCGGCCAGGAUCUCUUUCAUCACAUAAAGGAGGAGCCCGACUUUUUGGACAAUGUAGUGACCGGUGGCGAGACGUGGGCGUUUGAAUCCAACCCGGAGAGUAAGCGGCAGAGCCCAGAAUGGCACAGCCCUGCUUCCCCGUGCCCCAAGAAAGCACAAACGAGCAAACCCAAGCCAAAAUCCACGCUCAUUUGCUUUAUUGAUUGCCACGGAGUCAUCCACACAGAGUGUGGAGGUGUACAAAACCUGGAAAACGCGGUAGCAGCAGUGUGUAGAUGCAGAAGGGUGCUACUUGGGCAAAUCCUAGAAGUUUGUUCUAUUCUCGAGAAUAAAUUAUUUUUAAAUAAAUGAAUCCGGGAGCCCAGCUGCAUAGGGUGAUGGAGGGCAGCCCCAUAAGGGCACUGAGGCCCCAUAGGGAGGUGUGGGGCCGCCCCCUAUCAGCACCCAGCCCCAUAGCUGGGUGCUGAGACCCACAGUGGAGCUCCAUAGAAGGGAUCCCAGCCCCAUAGCGCCCCCAAAUUGCCCCGCUGCGCACCCCGAAGCUGCCACCCAGCCCCUGGUCCUCCAGGGCCGCUCUGCCCUCCCACUCUAUGCUCCUCCAAAUCAUCUCUAUGGUUUCCAGCCCACUCUAUAAGGGCCACGGGUCCCUCUCUAUGGUUCCCAGUCCUCCACUCCCUGGUCCUCCAGCCCCUUUAUGGUUCCAAUCUCUCUCUAUGCUCCUCCAACCCCUCCCUUUGGUCCUCCAACCCCCCUCUAUGGUCCUAAGGCCUCUCUAUGAUCCCCAGCCCUCCUCUCUAUGGUUCCGGCCCCUCUCUAUGCCCCCAGCACCAUGGAGGCCGCUCGGCGCUGGGCUCGGGCCCUGCUCUGGGGCUCUCUACCGGUGGCCCUGGGGGCGCUGCUGUGGGGGGCGGUGGCGGCGGGCGAGGACCGGCGCCGGGAGGCCCUGAAGGUGAGGAGGGGGGGGAGGAGGAAGAGGAGGAGGAGGAGGAAGAGGAAGGGAACCGGAAACGGGGCACGGAGGAAACCGGA
rnacentral:lncRNA from 1 species